rnacentral:rRNA from 1 species
CCUUAGUAACGGCGAGUGAAGCGGCAACAGCUCAAAUUUGAAAGCUGGCCCUUUUAGGGUCCGCAUUGUAAUUUGUAGAGGAUGAUUCGGCGAGGGCUCCUGCCUAAGUCCCCUGGAACGGGGCGUCAUAGAGGGUGAGAAUCCCGUAUGCGGUAGGUUGCCUUAGCCAUGUGAAUCUCCUUCGACGAGUCGAGUUGUUUGGGAAUGCAGCUCUAAAUGGGAGGUAAAUUUCUUCUAAAGCUAAAUACCGGCCAGAGACCGAUAGCGCACAAGUAGAGUGAUCGAAAGAUGAAAAGCACUUUGGAAAGAGAGUUAAAAAGUACGUGAAAUUGUUGAAAGGGAAGCGCUUGCAACCAGACUUGUCCGCAGUUGCUCAGCCGGUCUCCUGACCGGCGUACUCUUCUGCGGCCAGGCCAGCAUCAGUUCGGGCGGUCGGAUAAAGGCCUCGGGAAUGUGGCUCCUCUCGGGGAGUGUUAUAGCCCGGGGUGCAAUGCGGCCAGCCUGGACUGAGGAACUCGCUUCGGCAAGGAUGCUGGCGUAAUGGUUGUAAGCGGCCCGUCUUGAAACACGGACCAAGGAGUCUAACAUCUAUGCGAGUGUUCGGGUGUCAAACCCGUACGCGUAAUGAAAGUGAACGGAGGUGGGAACCCGCAAGGGUGCACCAUCGGCCGAUCCUGAUGUCUUCGGAUGGAUUUGAGCAAGAGCAUAGCUGUUGGGACCCGAAAGAUGGUGAACUAUGCCUGAAUAGGGUGAAGCCAGAGGAAACUCUGGUGGAGGCUCGCAGCGGUUCUGACGUGCAAAUCGCAUCGUCANAAUUNUGGGUAUAGGGGC